UUUAAAAACUAGCACUCCUCCCCCUCCUUCCAAAGAAAUGUCUUAUAUUUCUCUGCAGAACUUCAUUUCCUUUUGGAUCAGACAUCCACUUGUUCAAAAAGUCCUUGUCUCAGGAAGCACCUCCAACUUAUGCCCAGUUAUUUCCAUUCACUUUGGAUAUAUUAACCUCUAGGACAUAUCCCUGUCUAGAGUCACAGCAGGUUCUAUGCAGAACACCUGGACCCCAAGAAUUUAUUAUUCUAUGACAACCAGAAAAAAGAUCAGAAAUUUUGAGAAGAAUUAGAGACCUAACAUGCUCUGACCCAACCAACCUGUGUGUGCAAUGCUGCAUUAGAAUUUACAGAGCCCUGGAGGCCGGUGUCUUUGUCCUGGCCACACUUUCUGACAAGCCUUACCAUCCACCAUGAGCAAAGUUAAGAGGCAGCUGACUAUGAAACAUGAAUGCAUUUUUUUUUUUCCCAGUGGCCAGAAAUUCUUGGGCUAGGGGUUGAAUCUGCACUGCAGCUGAGGUCUACACCACAGCCACGUCAAAAGCAGAUCCGAGCAGCUCUGCAACCUAUGCUGCAGCUUGCUGUAACACUGGAUCCUUAACCCACUGAGAGAGGCCAGGGAUUGAACCUGAAUCCUCAUGGAGACUAUGUUGAGUUCUUAAUCCACUGAUGCACAAUGGAAACUGCUGGAACACAUCUUUGUUCACACUGUUCCCAAUGCUGCUCCCACAGCUGCUUCUGUGACUAGCUUAGCUCCCAAGGUCCAAGAACAGCAUGAAUCCAUCUGUAUCCUUUGACAGUAAAAAAUCAGUAAAUGCACUUGCUGCGUAGCUGAAUAUUGCUUGGCUUGAGAAAUUGUGAGAACAGAAACCACCAUUGAUAACAUGAUGUUAUCAAUCAAAGGUUUUCAAGCCCCAGGAAAGUGGUUGGAAAACUUGAAAGGAGGGAUGGAAAUAGUGAUGAGGUAAGGGCAGAGUGCUCCUAAAAUAUCUGGCAAACAAAGAAAAAGUUAACUGAAUGAAUAGUGGUUACAUGGGGAAAAAUCACCUGACCUUUGUCUCACAAAACUUCACUUCUUGGCUUUUGUCUUUCUCAGCAGAUCAGCUUAGGAAAGUAACAGUAACAUCAUCUGUUCCUUUUCUCUCAAUAGCAGUGAAAUUUGAUGCCCUAUUGACUUAGGGACCAGCCUUAGAUCUCCUUAGAUCUAAGGGCUCAAGAUUUCCUCUAUAUUCCCUUAGCCUCUGCGAUAUUGAAUGUAGUACACAUUUCCCAUCACAUCAUCCCAUAUUGUGAACAUUUUCUCUAUGGUCUAUUUCUGACCAACAUAUUUUCCUCUUAAGAUGAUUUUCUCCAGGUAUCUGUUAGAUUUGCAAAAUGAGAUGUCCCUCCUUUUUGAACAGGAAUUCUUCUACAUGCUUACUUAAUUUCCCUAUUCAGAACCUCCUUUCUAAUAACCUCUGCUCCUUGAGGAAUAUUUGCAUCUGCGUCUUCCCACCCAUCCUUUUGUCUCAAAGCAUAGAUGAGGUUGGACUCAUUCAUUCUGCCCAGCAGUGAAAAUCAGUGGAAAUCCUACCAAGCCCCUCCCACAUUGCCUCAAACUGUGUUGCAGCUGGAGUCAAUCAUGUUUUUCCUACCCUAUCUUGCCAAUUAAAAAUGUAAGAUCUGUUGAAGACACACUUUCUAUAGGAUCUUCAAAUGGCAGGCUUGCCUUCAUCCCCUGUCAUAACCCAACCCACAGCCCUGAUGCUUUAGUGAGCCAUCUUGUUCCUAUGUUCUUUUUUAUAAUAAUACAUCUCUACAGGCAAUUUCUGUUUACUUCCUUCCCAUCAAGGCUUCCAUUUUACCUAGACCAGAAUUUCCCAAGACUAAAAUCCAUCAUCUUAAAAGUGAUCUAGCUUACAUUCAGUGUCCUGGAAACUCUGUUCUUGUCCAACACAUCUGUGACCUAAUGGGAACCUCGUCCUGCCAAGAGGCCUACAAAUAAGGUGCCUUUGUCUUGCUUGCUUCUCCAGCACACAGGGCUGCACAAACCUCUGAUGAACAAGUGCGGUGAAACCAAGCAUGCCCUGAGUUGUCUGUGACUUAGGAGGUGGCAUCUCAGUGGAAUAGAAGCACUUCUCCUCCUCCUGAUUGGAGGCUAUCCUGGCCCUGUAACCCUCCCAGUGCACACCUGUGUUAUGUGCCAAGUCUGGGGGACAGUAGACACAAUAACGUGCUUCAGUGACAAAGCUGCUGUCCCAUCCAACAGAAACUGACGAUCCAGUUGCAACUUAUUUCACUUUGACCAAAACACAAGUUGUUUAGUGAUUUGGGUUCCUUUUUCUUGGUCAUGGUCUUAUCACUCAUUGUCCCGCACAGAACCCAGCUUCUUCAUUUUUCUGGUUCCAAAAGAUCUAGAACUUUACAGUUUUCUUCAAGUUCACUACUAGUAUGAUUAAAUCUCAUGAGGGCUAAAAGACACCAUAUUUGAAAGUUAUGAUCUCAUCAGUUAUGUAGUUAGAUCUUGUCCAAGACUAUCCGGGAAAAAUGUUCCCCAGAUGAGGUGGUAAAAAGUUCUUUUGCCUUAUUAUACUCUGUUCAGGGGACCAAACUCUCCCCAACUCCUCAGCCUAGGGACGUAGCUUUAAUUUUCAUAAGUCUUUGCUUUGGCAUUGCUGAAUACACACAACUCUCGUAUCACUGUGGAUUUUCACUCCUGGAAAAGAGCAAUCUCGUAUGAUCCCUUGCCUUUUAUUCCUCUGUUGAAAUUGACAUAGAGUAUAUUGUCCAGGAGAAACCUUGAUGAGGUUCCACGUAGCCUCUGGCUCAUGCUUUGGCUGAUGUGUCAUGAACACAAGCAGCCAUUUGCCCUUCCUGGAAGGACAGCCUUUUGCUUUUUUCCUCACUUCUAUAAUAAUUCUCUUCGUACUUUCUGUUUUCACAGAAUCCUCAUCCUCAAGGGGUGUCAUUUUUACCAGUACUGCCAUGAAGGGUCUUGUUCUUCAUGUUGGAUCCGUAAUCUCAUGGCAAGAAGAUGCUCCUCCAAAGAAAUAAUCCAGGAGUUCCCAUUGCGGCUCAGUGGUUAACGAACCUGACUAUAUCCAUGAGGAUGCGAGUUCAAUCCCUGGCAUUGCUCUAUGGGUUAAGGAUCCGGUGUUGCCAUGAGCUGCGGUGUAGGUCACAGACAUGGCUCGGAUCUGACAUUACUGUGGCUGUGGUGUAGGCUGGCAGCUGUAGCUCCAAUUCAAUCCCUAGCCUGGGAAUUUCCAUAUGCCUUGGGUGUGGCUCUAAAAAGGGGGAAAAAAACCAAAAAACAAAAAAACACAGAAACAACAAAAAAAAAAAAAAAAA
rnacentral:lncRNA from 1 species